UACGAAGGGGGCUAGCGUUGUUCGGAAUUACUGGGCGUAAAGGGCGCGUAGGCGGUUGCUCAAGUCAGGCGUGAAGGCCCCGGGCUCAACCUGGGAACAGCGCUUGAGACUGGGCGGCUUGAGUUCGGGAGAGGUGAGUGGAAUUCCCAGUGUAGAGGUGAAAUUCGUAGAUAUUGGGAAGAACACCAGUGGCGAAGGCGGCUCACUGGACCGACACUGACGCUGAGGCGCGAAAGCGUGGGGAGCAAACAGG
rnacentral:rRNA from 1 species